CAUGCAAGUCGAGGGGCAGCAUGGUCUUAGCUUGCUAAGGCUGAUGGCGACCGGCGCACGGGUGAGUAACACGUAUCCAACCUGCCGUCUACUCUUGGCCAGCCUUCUGAAAGGAAGAUUAAUCCAGGAUGGGAUCAUGAGUUCACAUGUCCGCAUGAUUAAAGGUAUUUUCCGGUAGACGAUGGGGAUGCGUUCCAUUAGAUAGUAGGCGGGGUAACGGCCCACCUAGUCAACGAUGGAUAGGGGUUCUGAGAGGAAGGUCCCCCACAUUGGAACUGAGACACGGUCCAAACUCCUACGGGAGGCAGCAGUGAGGAAUAUUGGUCAAUGGGCGAUGGCCUGAACCAGCCAAGUAGCGUGAAGGAUGACUGCCCUAUGGGUUGUAAACUUCUUUUAUAAAGGAAUAAAGUCGGGUAUGCAUACCCGUUUGCAUGUACUUUAUGAAUAAGGAUCGGCUAACUCCGUGCCAGCAGCCGCGGUAAUACGGAGGAUCCGAGCGUUAUCCGGAUUUAUUGGGUUUAAAGGGAGCGUAGAUGGAUGUUUAAGUCAGUUGUGAAAGUUUGCGGCUCAACCGUAAAAUUGCAGUUGAUACUGGAUGUCUUGAGUGCAGUUGAGGCAGGCGGAAUUCGUGGUGUAGCGGUGAAAUGCUUAGAUAUCACGAAGAACUCCGAUUGCGAAGGCAGCCUGCUAGGCUGCAACUGACAUUGAGGCUCGAAAGUGUGGGUAUCAAACAGGAUUAGAUACCCUGGUAGUCCACACGGUAAACGAUGAAUACUCGCUGUUUGCGAUAUACGGCAAGCGGCCAAGCGAAAGCGUUAAGUAUUCCACCUGGGGAGUACGCCGGCAACGGUGAAACUCAAAGGAAUUGACGGGGGCCCGCACAAGCGGAGGAACAUGUGGUUUAAUUCGAUGAUACGCGAGGAACCUUACCCGGGCUUAAAUUGCACUCGAAUGAU
rnacentral:rRNA from 1 species